UUCAGUACUUUCUUGUAUUUAUAACAUAAAGUUUCAAUCUUGGUUUAUGGGGUUUCAGCAUUUUCUCAAGUUGGAUCUCCAAAGAGCCUUCUCCAAUUUUUACCAUUUCUUGAAAUGGUUCAAUCACCUAUGAGCAGAAAGCUAGUAAGAAAUGGUGGCCUGUUUUAUCCAGUUAUUGGGUUUGCACUGUUUGUUACUUUUCUUUAUUUGGCAUUUGGAAACUUGUGGGGUUUCAAUUUCAACAGAGAAGAAAUAAAGUUAAGUUUUGUGGAGAGAAAUGGAACUCAAUUCUUUGUGGAUGGUAAAGCUUUUUAUAUAAAUGGAUGGAAUUCUUACUGGUUAAUGGACCAUGCUGUGGAUUAUAGUAAUAGACCAAGGAUUAAAGGGAUUUUACAAGCUGGUGCUAAGAUGGGGCUCAGUGUGUGUAGAACUUGGGCUUUUAAUGAUGGUGGAUACAAUGCUCUGCAGAUUUCCCCUGGUAGAUUUGAUGAAAGAGUGUUUAGAGCAUUGGAUCAUGUUAUUGCAGAAGCAAGAAAGAAUGGCAUUAGAUUGAUGCUUAGCUUGGUUAACAACCUGCACGCAUUCGGGGGGAAGACAGAGUAUGUGAAGUGGGCAGAGAAAGAAGGUGUUGCUUUAAGCUCUUCCAACGAUUCAUUCUUUUAUGACCCUACCAUCCGUCGAUAUUUCAAAAAUUAUGUCAAGACAGUGCUAACUAGGAGAAACAUAUACACUGGGAUUGAGUACAGGGAUGAUCCUACUAUCUUUGCAUGGGAGUUAAUAAACGAGCCUCGCUGCAUGACUGAUCCUUCUGGUGACACACUUCAAGACUGGAUAGAAGAGAUGUCAACAUUUGUGAAGUCGAUCGAUAGGAAACAUCUGCUUACGGUAGGCCUAGAAGGAUUUUAUGGCCGUAAAAGUCCCAAAAGAUCAACUGGCAAUCCAGAAUUUUGGGCUGCUGAUCUUGGAUCAGAUUUCAUACGCAACUCCAUGCUCUCGA
rnacentral:misc_RNA from 1 species